UCUUAGCAGCAAACAGCAGCCUCUG
rnacentral:miRNA from 1 species